rnacentral:rRNA from 1 species
GGGAGCAGUGAAACCACCGCGGGGCGACGGAAGUCCCCGUUGAAGAGUGUAGGUGUUGAGGAUGGCAGGCAAAUCCACCGUCCGAGCUGAACUUGAUAGUAUGGAGUCUUCUUCGGAAGAAUCCAAUAGUGUGGGUAAUCAUACUCCCGAGAAAAUCCGCUAAGCUUAACCCAUGCGGCACCCGUACCGCAAACGGACACACGUGGUCGGGUAGAACAUACUGAGGCGUUGAGAGAUUCAUGGUUAAGGAACUAGGCAAAUUGACCCUGUAACUUCGGGAUAAAGGGUCCUCGUGAAUAGCGAGGCGCAGAGAAUAGGUCCAGGCAACUGUUUAACAAAAACACAGGGCUGUGCAAACUCGAAAGAUGACGUAUACAGCCUGACACCUGCCCGGUGCCGGAAGGUUAAGAGGAGAUGUCACUCGCAAGAGGAAGCAUUGAAUUGAAGCCCCGGUAAACGGCGGCCGUAACGAUAACGGUCCUAAGGUAGCAAAAUUCCUUGUCGGGUAAGUUCCGACCUGCACGAAUGGUGUAAUGAUCCGGACGCUGUCUCAACCAUGAGCUCAGUGAAAUUGUAGUAUCGGUGAAGAUGCCGAUUACCCGCGAUGGGACGAAAAGACCCCGUGAACCUUUACUACAGCUUAGCAUUGACCUUGGUCAUCCGAUGUGUAGGAUAGGCCGGAGGCUUCGAAGCGGGAGCGCCAGCUUUCGUGGAGCCAUCCUUGAAAUACGGCCCUUUGGCUGUCUGAGGUCUAACGCGUGAAACGCGGACACUGCUUGGUGGGUAGUUUGACUGGGGUGGUCGCCUCCAAAAGCGUAACGGAGGCUUCCAAAGGUGCCCUCGGGUCGAUUGGUAACCGACCUCAAAGAGUGCAAUGGCAUAAGGGCGCUUGACUGGGAGGCAGACAUGCCGAGCAGGCAGGAAACUGGGGCAUAGUGAUCCGGCGGAUGUGUAUGGAAACUCCGUCGCUCAAAGGAUAAAAGGUACUCCGGAUAACAGGCUGAUCCCCCCCAAGAGCUCAUAUCGACGGGGUGGUUUGUCACCUCGAUGUCGGCUCGUCACAUCCUGGGGCUGGAGAAGGUCCCAAGGGUUGGGCUGUUCGCCCAUUAAAGUGGCACGCGAGCUGGGUUCAGAACGUCGUGUGACAGUUCGGUCUCUAUCUAUCGUGGGCGUGGGAGUUUUGAGUGGUGCCGUCACUAGUACGAGAGGACCGUGAUGGACAGACCUCCGGUUUACCAGUUGUGCCGCCAGGCGCACCGCUGGGUAUCUGAGUCUGGAUUGGAUAAGCGCAGAAAGCAUCUAAGUGCGAAGCCAGCCGCAAGAUGAGAACUCCAUUGAGGGUCGUCAGAGACGAUGACGUUGAUAGGAUGCAGGUGUAAAGACAGCGAUGUCAAAGCCGAGCAUUACUAAUUGCUC